GAUGAACGCUGGCGGCGUGCCUAAUACAUGCAAGUCGAGCGAACAGACGAGGAGCUUGCUCCUCUGAUGUUAGCGGCGGACGGGUGAGUAACACGUGGAUAACCUACCUAUAAGACUGGGAUAACUUCGGGAAACCGGAGCUAAUACCGGAUAAUAUCUUGAACCGCAUGGUUCAAGAGUGAAAGACGGUCUUGCUGUCACUUAUAGAUGGAUCCGCGCGGCAUUAGCUAGUUGGUAAGGUAACGGCUUACCAAGGCAACGAUGCAUAGCCGACCUGAGAGGGUGAUCGGCCACACUGGAACUGAGACACGGUCCAGACUCCUACGGGAGGCACCAGAAGGGAAUCUUCCGCAAGGGGCGAAAGCCUGACGGAGCAACGCCGCGUGAGUGAGGAAGGUCUUCGGAUCUUAAAACUCUGUUAUUAGGGAAGAACAUAUGUGUAAGUAACUGUGCACAUCUUGACGGUACCUAAUCAGAAAGCCACGGCUAACUACGUG
rnacentral:rRNA from 1 species